AGCAGCCACGAAAACUGUGUUAAAAGUAACACUUUUUUCAAUAUUUUCUAAAUACAAAUAAUUUGGAGGUGUGUGUAUCCCAAAAACAAUGGUCAUGAAUGAGUGAUGGAUAAAAAGCAGAUAAAAGGUAUAUGGCACACUUUCCAAAUUUAUCUGUUUAAUGUUUCCAUUCAACUUUUCAUUAUUUGAGUUUAUGCAUUUGUGGGAGAAACGUUAUAGUAUGUGUUUUUUUUUUGUCUUUGUCUCUGAAGGGAGAAAGCGUAUCAAGCUGAACAAAACCGGAUUAAGUGAAUCAAGCGGAUCUAGUAGAAUAACUGCAGAUCAAACAGAUUUAGCGGUCCCAAAUAAAUAUUUGAAUGGUGAAAGCGGAUCAAAUAUUGCUGAUCAUAUUAUAUAAUAUUUAA
rnacentral:sRNA from 1 species